AGUCGAUUUAAAUUUUUUUGUUCUAAUUUGAAUGUGUACUGUGUAGUUGUUUAUAAAUAAAUACACAUUGGAAUGUCGGUUCAGUCGUUGGUCGGUUUUUGUGCAUUGUUUUACUUAGCUGCGUUAGUAUAUUUUGUGAUUUAAUAUUAAAAUGUUCCAGCCUAUACAAACUUUGCCUUUUCCAGGUUUUGCUCUGUCUAAAUUACUGGAAAUAGGAUUUUUGUACUGUGAAGAUCUUUGGUGUAACGAAGCGAGUACGCGAGAUGCCAACGAGCUGCUGAGGCCGUGGGGCUCGGACGCGUGCGAGCAGAUGAAGCUGCAGGCAUCGUCAGUCGUCACGCGCUCGGCUCUGGACAUCUGGCAGGAGGAGUGCUCCCUGGGGAGCGUCGUGACCUUCUGCAAGGAGCUGGACGACGCCCUGGGGGGCGGAGUCCCCCUGCAGAGCGUCACGGAGCUGUGCGGGGCGCCCGGCUCGGGCAAGACCCAGAUGUGCCUGCAGCUGUGUGUGGACGUGCAGAUCCCGCGCUGCUGCGGCGGCGUGGAGGGCACAGCAAUGUACAUCGACACAAAGAGUGGCUUCACGCCGUCCAGGCUCGCGGACAUGGCGACGGCGUGGGCGGAGCACUGCCGCGCGGCGUACUCGCGGGAGGUGACCGUGGACGAGCUGCUACGUGGUGUCUCCUACGUCGCCACGCACGACGUGACGCAGCUGAUGGCCGCCCUGCACCUGGCCCAUCGCCGUCUCCGCGACGAUCCGCAGGUGAAGCUGCUGGUGGUGGACAGCCUGACGUUCCCCUUCCAGUACAGUGCCGCCAACUCGCUGGGCAAGACGCGGCUGCUCAGCGUUGCGAUGGACAAGUUGCACGCCAUGGCCUCCGCCCACAAGAUAGCGUGGGCUUGCUGGAGACGGGUGGAGCGGAGCCCCCAGGCACGGCGUGGCGGCUGGCCGUGCUCAGGUGGUGGUGACGAACCAGCUGAACACGCGCGUGGUGCCGGGCAGAGACAGCCGGCUGGUACCCGCGCAGGGGGAGAGCUUCGCGCACCGCGUCAACCAGCGCCUCCUGCUGGGACGACCUCCCGGGGGCCGGCACGCCGCCGUGCUGCUCAAGGGCGUCGCGGGGCCGCGCGUCUCCGCCGCCUUCCAGAUACUUCAGGACGGCAUAAGAGACUGCACGCCACCAGGUUGAGAGCAAAAUAUUUUUUUUAAAAUUGAAAACUAUUUUUGUAUUUUGAACAUCUUGCUGUGUAAGCAUUGUUUUCAAAACUUUUCAUUUGAAAACAUUUGCCACUCUGAUGGAAACCAAUGAUGAAGAGCAUGAAAACAUCAUAUCACCUCCAGGAGUUUGUUGUCGAUGUUCUCCGGCACCUGGUCCGGGAACACGAUCUGCGCCGGCCACCACCUGCGCACGGCACACGGCGCGGUCGGUCUCUACACCUGCCUCCCAGUCCCACGACACGUCUCCGCGGGUGUUCACAAGACCAUCUCUACCCACAGAAGAAUAUGGACAUCCUGCAGUUUCAUUCACGAGACCACGGAAAAACUUGAAUGCCGUCUGCCGGGCAGGGGAUCUGAAACGCGAGUCAGGUGUCCUACCACUACGGCCACUACGCUACACACAACCAGACUGCACGGUGCUUACUUGGUCUUGUCCCCGUCGUCCAGGUUGUUCCACAGCAUGCGCACGUACGAGUCCACCUUGUCCCGCCCCCAGCCCGGGUUGUCGUCCAGCACGAUCUGCGUGUGCACCAGGCUGAACUGGUAGAACGCCUCCUCCCCCCCCUGCGACGCGGGGGCCUGGGGCUUCUCGCCGGGCCCCGCCCGCUCCCGGAGCCUGCUCGGCUGCCACUCGUCGUCGUCCGAGUCGUCCCCGGACCUCCGGGACGCCUCCGCCGGCGAGCUGGGGACGGCCGAGCUAUCGUCCACGGGAAGAGCUUCGGUCUUCACACGGAUUUCGUCACCCACGGACGAAUUCAAAUUGAGCCUGCGGGAUUUUCUGGUUUUCGGAGUCAGCCCGUCGGGAACGUCGCCCCUGGGUGCCACGUCGUCCGGUUCAUGCUUCGGUACUUCCUUCACCAGCUGUUCGUCCGUUUCUCCUUUGGAUGUUUCCUCGACCACAAGCACAUCUUCUUCUCGCCUCGGUACCUCCUCGACGCCAGGCAGAGCGAUGCUGGUCUGCGGAAGUUCGUCCUGUCCCGAGGGUUCAGCCCCGGGCACCGUCUCAUCCUCCGACU